AAAAAAAAAAAAAAGACAGAUGAUUUAAAAUUGUACAACUCGAGUCAAGAGAUAACCAAUAUCAUCAUUUGAUACUACCCAUCAUAAGCAUAUGGUUUCCAGCAACCAGACCUUUUAAUUUAACAGGGCAAUGGUGGCCAUAAAAUGUAUACAAUGUUAAUGACUUAUAAUGAAUCAAUCCUUAAAGGAACACUAGUAAUUAUUUUUUUUUCAAAGUAAAUUGCUUAUAUAAAACAAAGUAAAAGUCAUGUAAACAGUCAUGCAAAAAAGUGCAAUAUUCUUUUUUUAAAAUUGAACAAUUUAAUGUUCAACAGUUGAGCAGUAGACUCUUCCCAGAAGCACUUUCUGUUCAGCAUCAGGGUCUAGGAGCUAUGCCAUUGGUCUGCUGGUCUCAAUGAUCUACAUCAACCAUUCUGCACAGUUCAAUGACUGACAGACACCCUCAUUAAAGCAUGACAGAGCAAGUCGGCCAAAUGUAUAUAUACGGAUGUCAUGCAAAGACUAUGCAUGACAUCCGUGAACAGUGGGUCAAUUUUAAAAUAGGAUAGUGUCAAUGUUUUUACUGUACUGCUUACUUUUAUUUUGUCAUAUACGUAAUUUAUUAAAACAAAUAGAGUUACUGAGUACUUUAUAGUAUGGCUCAAUAUUAAUUUAGGAUUUAAAGAGUUAGGCACCAGAUUAAAAAACAAAUGUCUAUUAGCCACCAUAAUUUUCAAUGUAGAUUACCAAUUUUUGCUCCUAGCAGAGACAUGGUUAAUUGGUUAAUUUCUUGCUUCAGUUAACAUUAUGCAAGGCAAACAAUAAGCUUAUUAUGUUGAACCUAUUUAAUUUGGGGUUUGGUACCUCCAUAAAAAGCACUGACCCUCAAAAUAAGCCUUUAAAGCACAUCGGCAUAUGCACUUAAAUGGUGUAUCGAAUACUGUUGCAAGUAGCUGAAAACAAUGAGCUGUAAAAAGUAGAUUUUCUGAUAUUUCCAUCUAAACAAAAGAUAAAG